rnacentral:rRNA from 1 species
CCUACGGGUGGCAGCAGUGGGGAAUAUUGGACAAUGGGGGCAACCCUGAUGCAGCGACGCAGCGUGAGUGAAGACGUCUUUCGGUGUGUAAAGCUCUAUCAGUAGGGAAGUGAAUGAAGGUACCUGAGUAAGAAGCCCCGGCUAACUACGUGCCAGCAGCCGCGGUAAUACGUAGGGGGCCAGCGUUAUCCGGAUUUACUGGGUGUAAAGGGAGCGUAGACGGCGAAGAAAGUCUGAAGUGAAAGCCCGCGGCUCAACCGCGAAACUGCUUUGGAAACUUUUUGGCUGGAGUACCGGAGAGGUAAGCGGAAUUCGUAGUGUAGCGGUGAAAUGCGUAGAUAUCAGGAGGAACACCAGUUGCGAAGGCGGCUUACUGAACGGUAACUGACGUUGAGGCUCGAAAGCGUGGGGAGCAAACAGGAUUAGAUACCCUUGUAGUC